GUUUACUUUUCGUUGCCAUGUUGACCGUAUGUAAAUACGCUACACGAAUCGGAUCCGAAAACCUCACGCAACCCGCGACACUUUGGAGACACCAAGCUGCGGCUGGUAACUAACCACCCUGUCGUGAGCCCCAGACCAUGAAUGAUCCGGAACACAGCCAAGGGACAGGACGGUUGGGACAAGCCACCGGCAGCAGCCAAGCCCGGCCCCGAGGGCCCGCAAGGCAUGGCUGCUGUAGCAACACCUAGGGGACGGCCCAGCAACGAGGAGCUGCUGCGCAAGCCGCCCCAGGAGAUCCUCCGCUGGCUGCAGAAGGUCGAAGCGGAGAACCUCAAGCUCAUGUACGACCAUGGUGCGAUGAUGCAGGAUGUCAACCGCCGCAUGCAGGUGCACCUGAUGGAGAUCCGGCAGCUGCGCGAGGUGAACGAGCGGCUGCAGCGCGACAGCCAGGAGCUGCGCGACCUCUGCUGCUUCCUGGACGAUGAUCGGCAGAAAGGGCGCAAGCUGGCACGUGAGUGGCAGCGCUUCGGCCGCUACACGGCGUCCGUCAUGCGCCAGGAGGUGUCCGCCUACCAGGGGAAGCUGCGGGGCCUUGAUGCGCGGCAGCAGGACCUCAUCCGCGACAACAUCCAGCUCAAGGAACUCUGCCUCUACCUGGAUCAGGAGCGGUCGCAGGCACUCUGCACGAACUGCGGCGGCGUUCUGCCCGAGGGCCGUCGCGACGAUGGUGACGGCAGCUCGUCCUCGACCAUCAACACCCAGGACGAGAUUCCCUCCCCUCUGCCCUGUUCCCCUCCUCCGCCGCGGCCCUCGCCGUCGUUGCCUCCCGUGCCUUCCGGCGGCAUACCCAACGGCACGGCUAACGGCCACGUCCGACCGCCCUCCAUCGUCCCAAACGGGAGCCGGCUUCCCAGCCGAAGCCAGCCGCCCAUGCGAACGCCUGCCAUCAAAGAGGCAAUCCACCGGCACAGAAGCGUCAUCAACGAACAAGUUUUGCGGUAUAUCCGGAAUUUGGAGAAGCGCAUUGAGAUUCUGGAAGGCGAAAAGGGCAUCGUCAAAAACUCUCCUCACGAGGAAGUUCCACACAAGCCACCUCAGCAGCAGCCUUCUCCAGGGGGGCUCGAGAAAAAAUACCAAAGUGGAAUUCCACGUGCUCCUCACUACAGGAAACCCGACGACACCGGUCACGUUGUGCCGCCACCCGCGUCACACGGCUCUGGCAAAAAUACCUCGGACAACACGGAGCCGUAUGUGGGCGUGGCAAGGCCAGAAGCAGUGGUACAUGCCAUGAAGGUCCUCGAGGUUCAUGAGCAACUGGACAAGGCUACGGACAGUGAGCUGGAGUAUGAAGAGCUUGCCGAAGGAGAGAAGGCCCUUGUGCGUGAAAUGUGCAACGUGGUCUGGCGAAAACUCGAAGAUGGACCAGCGUGAUGCAAGUGCACUGGUGUAAUCAGUGCACAUGAAGACGAUGGAGGAGUAGCAAACAAACAUACCAUUUUGAUGGCACCACGUUUCCUGCACACCUGCUUUCCAAAGUAAACAUUGCGACCCUGACGUGUGUUGAUCCGUGUGCAGCUGCAGCCUCACCGUUUCAAGAGAAAUAUACUCGUAAUGUGACACUGAAAUGUACACUCAGCUAUCUAGAUGUCUCUCUCCCAUUCACAUUUUCCACAUGUUCUCCUAAACGUGUUAAAGCUGCGAGAAAGCACAAGUGAAACUGAAAUUCAACUCAGCUGCAAGCUGCCAGACUACUAGCGGAGUAACACGAAUGUUCGAAAACCCUGCAUCCGUAGCCUUCACUCCACUGCCAAGAUGAGCUGCCCCGAGUAUAUACAUAACUAUUGUGAGGCUAUAACAGUGGGGUAAUGUGGUAGUAGGUCAAGGUUAGGUAAUAAAGAGUGCUCACUACAGUGACCCCUUCUUGUCUCACGAAGAACUUAGAUGGAAAGAAUGAGCAAGUGUAUGUCUUCAGAGUUGUCUAAAAGUUCCGUUUAGACAACCGUGAAGUCAAUAUGACGUUGCGUGCAAUGGCACACACUGUGAUUGAGGCAGAAAAGUUUGGCCUUCAUUUAGUUUAAAUGUCUGCUUUCUGCUCGUGUGAUUGGCCAGAGGCCAGCUGUACGGCGACUACAGCUGGCAUCUGGAACAAGCGUGCAAGCCAAAUCCGAAUGUUCACAAGACUCCGCACUCAGUGUUCAGCGACCACAAAGCGUGCAUUGAUGGCUUCCAGAUUGCCAACCUGAAACUGAAGCUGCGGAAACGGGGAUACGAGAAUGUUUAGUGGUUUUCUGUCAAUGCCAACAAGGCAAAUGGUUGGGGAUGGUGGUGUAGACAGGGUUUCGUAAUGUAAUGCGUGAGGUAAGACAAUUGGGUAUGGGCUUCUAAUCCAACCCAUCAACUGCUGCGCUGUUUCUAUAUGUACAGUCCCUGAUAAUAAAAAGCUGUAGUUUAAGUUGUCUGGAGUUUAAAAGCAGGACUUGAGGAUUUUCUGGAGUUGGAUCUUUCUUUUUUAGCAAUGUGAGCAUAACUGCUGCCUGAUACCAUUUGAAGCGGCAUCAAGCGAAUGAAUGCUGCAGUUGCUGGACUAUAAUGUGUAAUUUCUCUAGAUCCCUUCAGGGCACACUAUUUCAAGAAUGUGAUGAUGCUUACGGGGGGCUAAGAACAUGUCCAUACCCCGCAAGUUGCGAGAGGUUCUGUUGGUAACAGACAUUGUCUGGCAACUAACUCCACUGCGCAAAUUUUUCAUUAGGGUUCAAUAGUCUUCUCUUCACACACCAUCUCAGCUAUGGUCCAGGGCUGAAGCCGUAUGUCCCAGGUUGUGAUAGAGGAACAUUUACUGGCAACAAACGCUCUUGAGAAAAUGUUAAGCCGGCUUUCCAGCAAAGCUCAUGCAAAGCACAAGAAAGUACACAGCAGCCGUUGUUAACCUGAACGAGGUUUCAACAUGAAACCACGUCGAGUUUUUUGCAUAAAAAGUGUCUUCAAGGAUUCAAAUGUAGCGUUUUUUUCUUCUCAAAGUUUGUUGCCGCUGGGAUCACGUGCUAUUGAAUGUUGCAGAGAUGAAGAAAGAAAAAGCUCUGUUCUGUGUUGUAUCGUGUGAUUGGAUGUUGCGAAACCGGCGAAGUGACCGUAAAAAUGUUCGCGCAAUGUUUUCCUUUUUUUUUUUCUUCGCCGGUCAUCAGAAAAUGUACAUACACGUUCGAGCGAGCAUUCCUAUAUAUUUCUUUCUUUCAUAUACAUACAUGAAACAAACACUCACACAUGUGCCACAUAUUAAAAGAACCCUUGUGCCUUAUAGAAGAUGAGCGUGUAUUUUUUGUUGCAUGUUACGGUAGUGCCACAGAGUUUAAAAAGGUUGUUCCAGCGCAUUUUUUUUAACAUUUCGAGAUAGAUACUAUACUUAA
rnacentral:misc_RNA from 1 species